UGGGGAAUCUUGGUCAAUGGGCGCAAGCCUGAACCAGCGACGCCGCGUGGGUGAUGAAGGCCUUCGGGUUGUAAAGCCCUGUGGGGAGGGACGAAAACGUCAUGGGCGAAUAGGCCAUGGCCUUGACGGUACCUCCUUAGCAAGCACCGGCUAACUCUGUGCCAGCAGCCGCGGUAAGACAGAGGGUGCAAACGUUGCUCGGAAUUACUGGGCGUAAAGCGCGUGUAGGCGGACGCGUAAGUCAGGUGUGAAAUCCCUGGGCUCAACCCAGGAACUGCAUUUGAAACUGCGUGUCUGGAGUGUCGGAGAGGAAAGCGGAAUUCCUGGUGUAGAGGUGAAAUUCGUAGAUAUCAGGAGGAACACCGGUGGCGAAGGCGGCUUUCUGGACGAUUACUGACGC
rnacentral:rRNA from 1 species